rnacentral:tRNA from 1 species
GCUACUUGUAGCUCAAGUGGACAGAGCGCGUGUGCAAAGCGAGGUUGCGGGUUCGAGCCCCGUCAAGAUAGCU